UUUUUUUUUUUUACAAGCUAAAGCAGAGACCAUGGAGUAACACUGCUUACUGACUUGUUCCUCUUGUCUUGCUCAGCUAGCUUUCUUAUAUAUUCUAGGACAGCCUGCCCAGAGAUUGCAUUACCCCCACUAGGCCAGGCCCUUCUAUACCAAUCACAGGCAUGCCUGCAGGUCAUCUGAUGGUAGCAUUUUCUCAACUCUCUUCAGAUGACUACCUUGUGUCAAGUUGACAAAAACAAUCGACACAGUAUGUGCGGACAUGUGGUGCUGGUGUGGAAGGGAGAGGCUGAUUUGUAGGAGUCAGCUCUCUCCUUCACUUUAUGCAUCCCGGGGAAUCAAACUCAGUUCACCAGGCUUGGAUGCAAGCUCCUGUAAGCACUGACCCAUCUUGCCACCAAGGCCACCAUCACUGCCCCUCUUCCUCUUCUCCCCUUCCUUUUAUGCUUUUUUGCUUUCCUUUUGAUAGGUUUUCCAAAGAGCAUAGUCUGAGUGGGUUUAUGGAGUCUCCAUAGUUCAGCCUCCUGAUACAUGAGACUUUUAUCUGCUAGCAUAUUUUUUAACUUUCUCUCCUUAUUUUAUUUUAUGAUAAAGUCUCAUGUAUCCCACAUUGGCCUCAGAUUUGCUGUGUGGCUGAGGAGGACCUUGAACUCCUGCCUCUACCUCCCAAGGUCUCUCAGGUCAUAGGAGUGCACUGUCAUACUUGACUUGUACAGUACUAGGGAUUGAAACCAGGGCCCUGAAUGCUAUGUGAGCACUGUGCCAACUAGGGUGUGUCUCCAGCUACCACACUCUUUCCAUUCUAUCUUUGCCUUCCUUAUGCCCUCCUGUCCCUCCUGUUCCCCACUCCUCUUUACUCUUUGCUCUACUUUGUUUCUACCAACUCACUGCUAAUCAUGGGCCUUACUUUCUUUCCUUUUUCCUCCACUCGAAUUUGUAGUAGUAGAUUGUUGCAUACUAUACUAUUGUUUCUUUACUUCCUAAAAGGAGUGUGUUUACUGGGUGAUUUUUUUUUUUUUUGAUUGUUACUUUAUUUUCAUAGUGGGACUAUCCUUUAACAAUGAUUGAGUUCAAUAACAAUUUUCUGUUCUUGGGGAAUGUUGAGAAUUGAGCUUGGUUGCCCCAACACUGUUGUAAGAGAGAAACAUUAUAUCUGAACUUUACUAUAUAGCUUAGUCCUUCUUAAAUAUUAUAAACACUUUUGUUGGGAGGGGAAGAUUAUUUAAGGAAAAAAAUUCAGCAGCCUAACCCCAUAUAUACAAAUCUCACAUAAAAGCAAAACAAAAACCAUGAGAAGCCUAAAAUCCAAGGCAGCAUGACUCCUCCAAGAUCUGCUAAUCUUUUGCAAUUCCCUGCAAUGACAGUAAAUUAGAUGAAAUCCCAUUCAAAGACUUAGAAAGUGUGAUAAGUAUGUUUAAAGAGAAAGAAGAUAUUAAUAACCCCCUGAAUGAAUUGCAAAAAUAAAAGACAGCUUUAUAAAUGUGGGGCAGGGGCAAUACAGAAAAUGAGAUUGGACCUCAGUAAAGGGAUAUAAGUACUGAAAACAAAAAGUAAAAAAAGCAAAACAAAAAUACUGGAAGUCGUAUUUACUAAGUUGAAUAAAAACUUUGUGGAUGCCUCAAGAAUAGAAUGGAUCAGAGGGAUGACAGAAUAUAUUGGCUUGGAGAUAAGGUGGAAUUGGAAUAUUCAGUUGUGGCCAUAGAAGGAGAAUUUCCUGCUAAAGAUUUAGGGAAACAUUUUACUUACAGGAAUAUGGGUAAAGAGUUACUUACAGGAGCAGAAAUGACUCAUAACCACCACCCUACCAUGGUUAGAAACAUGAGCACAGAGCUAGAAACCUAGAGCACAUUGCACAGCCUGCAGGCAGCUCCACAGGGUGGAGAGUGUCCCUUCCAAAUGAUUCAGGGAGCCUAAAGCUCUUCUAGGCAGCUUGUCUCUGCUUUCUUUAGGCAGUUGGUUUGCUGUCAGAGUCUUUAGGGAAACAUUUUCAGUAAGAUCAUAGCAGGCAGUUCCACAAAUCUAUGAAAAUAAAUGUGCAUAUAGGUACAAGAUACAUUGAUUGCUAGCACCAAACAGACAGAUGCAAAAAAGAACCUCCUCCCAAUGUUAUGUUAUAGUUAAAACACUACAUAUCCAGAACAAUAAAGUUCGUUAGAAGCUAGAAGAGAGAAAUAUAACAGAAACUAUAGGAGGACUUGAAAUGAUAUAUUUCAAGACAGCAGCUGCCAAUUCAAUCUACUAUAUUGCAUAAACUAUUUGUCAGUAUGGAAGGAGAAAAAAAUUCACAAUAAAAGCAUUCUAAAGGAAUUAAACUCUAUAGAAGAUACUUGUAGAAUUCUUCAGACUAAAGAGAAGGACAAACACUGAAAAGAAUUAACAGUAAUUAAGCCAACAGGACAGCAAGUAGUAUUAAGUCGACAGAAUAGCAGGAAUUAAUGCACGUCUUUCAAUAGUAACCGAAUAUUGAUAGUCUCAGUUACCUAAUCAAAAAACACGUAAUACCAUAUUUCUUUUAAAGCAUUAUCUGUCUAUUUCCAUUUGUCAGAAAAGUCCAUCUUCCAAAAUGAUACAGGCCAGUACCAUUGCCCCUUCUAGAAUUUAAAGGUAAGCCCCUAUUGCUGGACAGACACCAUGCACUCGGGACAUAAGCCUCAAAGGAUUUGAACUGAAUCUGACUUGGAAGCCUCCUUCAUGAGGACUAGCUUUCAUAGGAAUGGGGAGUGCUAUACAAGCUGCCAAAGGAGAGAAGCAACCAUCUACACCAUAAGACAUAUCUUAAAAUUUUAUAUCCCAAUACGUUAGAAAACUCAAAAGUGGAUGAAUUUUACAGAUGCAUAUCACCUAGC
rnacentral:lncRNA from 1 species